GCGGGAGAGAGAGCAUCUUUGGAAGCAGUGCCAGAGGGAACCGGGUGGGCCUGUCGGAGCGUUAGGAUUUGAGCUUGGGCCUUUUGAAUCUAGGAUCUCGAAAUGCAUCGUGAUUCCUGUCCCUUGGACUGUAAGGUUUAUGUAGGUAAUCUUGGAAACAAUGGGAACAAGACUGAAUUAGAACGGGCUUUUGGCUAUUAUGGACCACUCCGAAGUGUGUGGGUUGCUCGAAACCCUCCUGGCUUUGCUUUCGUCGAAUUUGAGGAUCCCCGAGAUGCUGCUGAUGCUGUCCGAGAGCUAGAUGGAAGAACACUAUGUGGCUGCCGUGUAAGAGUGGAACUGUCGAAUGGUGAAAAGAGAAGUCGGAAUCGUGGCCCACCUCCCUCUUGGGGUCGUCGUCCUCGAGAUGAUUACCGCAGGAGGAGUCCUCCACCUCGGCGCAGAGUCACCAUCAUGUCUCUUCUCACCACCCUCUGAAUCUGCAUUAGCCAGUCAACUAGCCCUUUCAGCGUCAUGUGACCAGCGCGCCCCAUUCAGCUUGGCUGGUGUCGUUUCACAUGACCCAGGCUGGCCAGUCGUCAGGUUGCACCGCCCUUUGGUUCCCGAGCAUGCUGUUUUCUCUCAGCCUUCUCUCCAACCUUAACCAAAUCGGCAGCAGCCACCUCGACCGCCCACACAUUCCUGGCCAAUCAGCUCAGCUGUUUAUUUACCAAAUGUCUUCACAACAACUACAGCAGCAGCCUUCGGCUAACAAAAAAGCAGGAAAAAUCCACAACACCCCCUUCGCCAACCAACUAAAUCCAACGCAACAUCUGGCAAAACCUUUUCAGCAAAUUCUUCCUGGCCGUCAGUCCGGCAGCCUCACCUCACCAUUUCUAGCUUGUUGAAACCCAAAACUAAUCCCCAAGAAGGAGAAGCUUUUCGCGAAGCCGGAGCAGGUCUCUUUCUAGAGAUAGGAGAAGAGAAAGGUCUCUGUCUCGUGAGAGAAAUCACAAGCCGUCUCGAUCCUUCUCUAGGUCUCGUAGCCGAUCUAGGUCAAAUGAAAGGAAAUAGAAGACCAGUUGGCAAAAGUGGUGUACAGGAAAUAACUUCAUUUGACAGGAGUAUGUACAGGAAAUUAAAGUUUUGUUUGAGACUUCAUAAGCUUGGUGCAUUUUUAAGAUGUUUUAGCUGUUCAAAUUUGUUUUGUCUCUUGGAACAGUGACACACAAAACGAUGUAAUUCUCUAUGGUUUCAAAUGGAUCAUAUGAGGCAUGUGAUAUUAAGAAUUGUUACUUUACAAUGUUCCCUUAAGCGAGAUUGAAUUUUCUUUGAAUUUUAGUUUUUCAUAGACUGAAAUAAACCUAGAUCCUGCCCAGUU
rnacentral:lncRNA from 1 species